UACGUAGGCAGCAAGCGUUGUUCGGAGUUACUGGGCGUAAAGGGUGUGUAGGCGGUUGUUUAAGUUUGGUGUGAAAUCUCCCGGCUCAACUGGAAGGGUGCGCCGAAUACUGAAUGACUAGAGUGCGGGAGAGGAAAGUGGAAUUCCUGGUGUAGCGGUGAAAUGCGUAGAUAUCAGGAGGAACACCGGUGGUGUAGACGGCUUUCUGGACCGUAACUGACGCUGAGACACGAAAGCGUGGGUAGCAAACAGG
rnacentral:rRNA from 1 species